CGCGGUAAAGUCUUCGAUGCUUGUACAAUGGCUGUGAAGAGGCACAUUAAAUUCGGUACAUUUUGGUGCGGCCUCCUAAUGCUGGUAUAAUGUUGUGUAUAUUUAGUUUGCAAUUAAAACUUAGGUAUACAAAUCUUAAUCUGCAAUAGAUCGUAGUGUACAAAGUUUCUAUUAAUGAUAUGGUGACUGAAAUUUUAAUUAUCUUAAAAUUUUUCUCUGACUCUCUUUUACUUUCUUUGUACAGAGUACCUGUUUUGGCUGAUGUGUCUAAUUCAUAGAAAUUCAUUUCCAUCGGUUUCCAUUGGUUUGAGCACAAACAGAAACAGAGGUCUGAGGAAAAGGUUUACUUCUUGCGGUAUUAUGCCUUUGUUUCUUUAUUCACCAUAUUUGUUCGAAUUCAUGCCCUCAUUAAGAAUUUAAAGCCUUUUCCAGGCAGCUUUGUAGCCAAAUUUUGAUGCCAUAAAUGCAUGAUUGUCAUUUAGAUUUUCCGAAUAUUUGUUAUUUGGAGAAAUAUUGUUAAAAGAGCAUUUGAUUAGCUACUUACCCUAUGAAUUUAGUUGCCAAUAAUACAUUGAAAUUGAGUAGGGUAAUGGUUGAGGAAAGUUAUUGUCUUAAUUAAAUUACAGGUGAUAAGAUGUUGCUUGAAAUCAGCAUGUUAUAUGGCGAUGAUUUUGCCCACAUGAGACGCUGUGAUUCUUGACAUUGGGAUAACUCAGGUCACUCAUUCUGAAUCUUUUCUAAUUUUCAAGUUCCUUAGGGCCAUGACUAGUUUUUCAAGUCUGCAUGUGGCUGCAAAUGAUUGAUGGUCAUAAAAUUAUCUUGAGCCUUGAGGCAUUGCGUUUGAGCGCACACAGAAACAGAGCUAAAGGAAAAGAACUUGACAGUCGAAGAUGCUCUAAAUAUAACAAAAGUAUAUUUCUACUUCUUGUGGUUAUUUUACUGUUGUCUCUUCGGUCAUCAUAUUUGAUUAAUUGUUCGAAUUCACACUCUCACUUAUUAUUUAAAACCAUUCUUAUGUGGCUUGCAAGCUAAUUAAGUUAAAGCAGAAACAAUACUAUAGACGAAGAUGAGCAAAUUGAAGGUGAUAAGUGCAUAUAUAGUGGCCAAGUCGCUUAUUAUACGUCUCUCAUACUAACAUGAUUCUGAAUUUGAAUUUCCAUGAAUAAUUGUUAGGCUGGUGCACUUAUUCUUGAAAGGGCGUUAAGCUACCUUAUGAAAUUGGAAAGUUAUUAUUGCUUGAAUGCAAGCACCGUCUUCUGUUGCAAAGGCUUUCCCCACAUGAUGAGAUGCUGUGAUUGUUACCGGACCCUUAAUUAUUUAACUCAGGAUUUUAUCAUCAACCACAUCAUCUUAUUCACCAUUUUGGAUAUAUAUAAAGAUUAAAAUUUCUAACAGUUGUUUCGGAUUCUUGUGUAAUCAGAUAAAUGGGGCAAAUGUCAGAACAAAGAUUGCUCAGUGCUGCUGGUAGGGCAAGGAUGAUGAUGGUGAGGAAGAUUGCUCACAAGCCAAGUAGAGCCCUCCAUUUUGAGAAAUAUCAUCCUCAAAUUUGAAUUGUUGAGCAUAUGAAGUGAUGCUAAAGCCUUAAUAUUAAGUCUUUCUGAAAGUUUCAUUUGAAUGAAUUUUCGGAGAUUGAAUGUUAUUAGAGUGAGUAAGAAAAUUAAGCACAUAUCUGCGAUUUGGGUUGUCGGUGAAUGUUCUCCUUUAAUAUUUGUACACACCCAUUUCUUAGUAAAAUUUUCUUCAUGUCUUUUACUAUGACAUAGGCUAAUAGCCGUACCAUAUA
rnacentral:lncRNA from 1 species